AGUGAACGCUGGCGGUAGGCCUAACACAUGCAAGUCGAACGGCAGCACAGUAAGAGCUUGCUCUUACGGGUGGCGAGUGGCGGACGGGUGAGGAAUACAUCGGAAUCUACUUUUUCGUGGGGGAUAACGUAGGGAAACUUACGCUAAUACCGCAUACGACCUACGGGUGAAAGCAGGGGAUCUUCGGACCUUGCGCGAUUGAAUGAGCCGAUGUCGGAUUAGCUAGUUGGCGGGGUAAAGGCCCACCAAGGCGACGAUCCGUAGCUGGUCUGAGAGGAUGAUCAGCCACACUGGAACGGAGACACGGUCCAGACUCCUGCGGGAGGCAGCAGUGGGGAAUAUUGGACAAUGGGGGCAAGCCUGAUCCAGCCAUACCGCGUGGGUGAAGAAGGCCUUCGGGUUGUAAAGCCCUUUUGUUGGGAAAGAAAAGCAGCAGGUUAAUACCCCGCUGUUCUGACGGUACCCAAAGAAUAAGCACCGGCUAACUUCGUG
rnacentral:rRNA from 1 species